CAACCCUCAAGCUCUGCUUGGUAUUGGGUCUCACCGCACGGUGGGCCUUAAAAUCAGUGGCGGUGCCAUCUUGGCUCUAAGCGUAGUAAAUCUCUCGCUCUGGGACCUCGGUGGUGCUUGCCAGCAACCCCAAAUUUUCUAU
rnacentral:misc_RNA from 1 species